GGAAAUCCAACCUUGGAACUGCAUAGAGUCGCUCCUUCCCUAUUCAACUGCAGGUGACAAAGGGAAGGAAUCAGCCCUAGGUCUUUAUGAAGUCACCAAGGAACAUUAGAUACAGGGAGCAGGGAAGGAGUGCCACCAGAUCUACUUGAAAAGGCUCUUCCCUGACGUCCGUUCUAAUUCUUCCAGAAACAAAACAGCUGUUUUCCCAGCAUACCACUGCCUGUCAGUCAAGCAACCAUUACCUCCUUUAAAUGAGUGAGCAAGACAGUCCAAGACAACACGGAAAAUGGUAACACAGCGAUCAGACACUGUGGUGUCAAUGCUCAGAGUGAACUGAGAUGAUGAGCCCGGAGAGCAUCGGGAAAGGACGCCAGGGUCUCCACAGUGUAAAAAUGAGGACAUGCAUCACAAGGAGGAAAAAUAAAGACCACCACAGCAGACAUGAGAAGGCAGCUUGCAUGUGGGAAUAGGCCAGAAUAUAAGCUACCAGAGCAGUGUCUGGAUCCAGAACAUACGAAAUAACUGUCUGCGGCGGAACAGAUGAAUACAUGGUUGAGUUCUUGGAUGGCCUGGGGCUGGAAAAACAGCUCUUGCAGAAGACCUGGGUUUGGUUCCCAGCACUAGACACGCCUUGGUGCACAGACAUACA